CUCUCUCUCUCUUCUCGGCGAUCUAGGGUUUCAUGACCGCCCGUUGUGGAGAAUUUCAAAGACUUGAGCUCGGCGACUGCCAUGGAUCUGCCGGAAUAUGCAUCUCGAAGUUGUAAUCGGAAAGAAAGCGAGGUGUUUGUGCUGUAAAGGCGGAGUCAUUCCAGCUGCUGCUCACAUACUUUUUAUGAAUAAAAAGUUAGGGUCAAUUUGACUGAAUAUGAUGAUAAACAUGGAUUUGUUUUUGAUGCUGUGAUGAAUAAAGUGUCACAAAUGAUAAAGUGGGUAUAUAAAAUUGUGUCUUCAUCUUCACAUUCUAAUCCGGCGACAUCGAGCAAAUCCAGGAUGAGGGUAGUGCUUCCAACAGCCGAUAAUCACUGCAGACAUAAACCACACAUAACCAAGAAAAAAGGUAACAUUUUUAGGGUACAUCAGCUCAUUCGAAAGGAUUUUUUUGAAGGCAUUGCUAUUUGGUUUCUUGGAUUCCAUCUCGAUUUCAAUGGUUUGGGGUUUUAUUCGGCUAUUGGUUACCAAAAAGGUCUUUAGUGAAAUCAGCUUUGGUAACUACCUAAUGUGGAUGUUGUGAAGGCUCGGUUCUAUUUCAGCAAUUGAUAUCCGGGAACAGCUACGGUCAGGCUAUGGUAUGUGUUAUGUCUUAUCACAAUUAUAGAAAGGUAAUGUCAAGUCUCACUCUAACAGGUCAAGUGGAACGGGAGUCGUCCAAAUUAUGUCUUUAAUGAAUAAACCAACUAACUCGCUUAACGUGUUGUUUUGGGUGCACUUAACAGGUUCGUGGGUGACAUGUUUAGCCCGUUUAAUUUUUAUAAACAAAUAAAAUUAUUUUUAUAACAAUUUUUAAAAGAUAAAAAGAGAACUGAAGGGUGAUGUGAUACUUCUACAUGCAAAUGAAUGAAGUUAGAAUUUCUAGGAGGGUGGUAUUGCAGUUCUUUCAGCCCCCAGACCUGGAACAGAUGGAAAUGGAAUUAAGAUUGGAGAAGAAAUGCACAGAGGAGUUAGAUGACGCACUCAUGAGGUCGAUUAAUGGUCAUGGUAGAAUGGUGGAACAUUAUGCUGAUUUGCAGGAAGAAGUAUAAUGAACUGGUGGAGAAACACCGGUUGAUUCUUGAAUGGAUAGCGGAGGUGAAACGGGUUGCGGCUAAAGCCGGAACGAAAGGUCAUGGGAAUCGGUUUUCGAAGUCGUUGGCAGCUGGUGAAGUUCUUGUUAGGUUGAGAGAAGCUGAGGAAGCAGCAACAGAUGCACAUGGGCAUCUCGGGCUCAGAAGCAUCUCUGUCAAUCUUCAUCUCUGUCAGAUUAGCUCAAUAGGCGAAGCUUACCGAAGCCCAACUCAAUAUUAAGAGCACCGGGGAUGGAUGAGCUGAAGGUUUCAUUGUGCAGACCAUCUCAAAUAUGUGAGGGUGUCUCAAUUUGGGAAUGGUCAGGAUUGGCUUGGGAUGAGGGAGAUGAAGCAUCUAAAUGGUUCAUUAAUUAUCUUGGCAAGCCAAGUCGGUUAAUGUGUUUUAAUGAAGUAGCAGGACCCUUCACGAUGCACUACACUCCGAUGACGGUUACAAAAAGAAAUUUUCAUGGAAUGCGCGCAUCCGAAUGGCACUUGGAGUUGCAAGAGCCUUAGAAUAUCUACACGACUUUAGCGAGCCACCUAUUAUUCACAGAAACUUCAAGUCUGCAAAUGUUCUUCUCGAUGAAGAUCUUUCUGUGCAUGUCUCUGAUUUGCGGUUUAGCUCCGUUAAUAUCCCGUGGCUCAGUAAGUCAGGCGGUUGUAGCCGUCUGUUGAUUCAUGAUUUGGUGAAGCUCCAGUGACCAGGCUCUUUUCGGAGAAGCAGCAAUUACAAGGCUCGCUUCUGCAUGUUCUGUUGUAGAACGGAUUCAUGAUUUUCCAAGGUUAGUUGGAGUGGCUUUGGAGAAGAUAGAAGUUUAUACAACCGGUUAAACCGUCCGGUACACCCGGUUGAACCGUCCGAUACACCUGGUUGAACCGCUUCUAAGCCCGGCCCAGUACGGAAUAAAAACCAGUUUUUAAAACAUUGGUUUCUACAACUCAGCUGCCGGCAACAACCCCGGUACACUGGUGAAGGCUGUCACACUUUGUUGUGGUGAUAUCAGACCAGAAGAUUGUGAGGACUUUGUGAAGAAAGAGGCGGCCGCGUGGUACAUGACUUCUAUGCAAUGACAUGAUACUGUAAACAAGAGAUCCAACGAAGAAGUGCAGGGUAGAAAGGUCACGGAACUACAUAUCAUCAUCUUGGACCCUUUAAAUGAUUUAAAUUAUUAGAAGGAUUUUAUAUUUGUUUAUUGCUUUGAAUGUUUCAUCUCCUUUUAGUGAAACAAAUGUGAAAAUUUCAAUAGACAACAUAUUUUACUGUUA